GCGCCAGUGGUCUAGUGGUUAAGACCCGAGCCUUCCAAGCUCGUGACCCGGGUUCGAAUCCCGGCUGGCGCA
rnacentral:tRNA from 1 species